rnacentral:tRNA from 6 species
GGUCGCUUAGCUCAGCUGGUUAGAGCGUGCGGUUUACAUCCGCAAGGUCGCAGGUUCGAUCCCUGCAGCGACCACAA